rfam:Ajellomyces capsulatus G186AR cont2.167, whole genome shotgun sequence.
AGCUGUCAUGGCCGAAGGGAGACCUCCCGCAUCCGCGAGGUGUGUGUGGCUUGGGGGUCACCUGAUCCCCCAAACAGCGGACUUGGUGCCUGGUUCGAAUCGCCGGGUCGCGAGAUUUUGUCCUUCACGGGGCAACUUCUUCUCCCGCACUCGUGCGAGUAGUCCACGACCGGCUGUCGGUGCGCUAAGCCCUGGCCCGUACCCUCGAGGGAAGCGAUUCUGCAGAGACCGGGCCCCCCGGCGAUGGCGGCACCAGAUCACACCGCCGCUGCACACCCACCGCGCUGAAUGGGAUGGUCGACUUUCUUUUUUUU